rnacentral:rRNA from 1 species
CCUACGGGGGGCAGCAGUGAGGAAUAUUGGUCAAUGGGCGCGAGCCUGAACCAGCCAAGUCGCGUGAGGGAUGACGGUCCUACGGAUUGUAAACCUCUUUUGCCGGGGAGCAAGCGGGCGUUCGUGAACGCGCGUCGAGAGGACCCGGAGAAAAAGCAUCGGCUAACUCAGUGCCAGCAGCCGCGGUAAUACGGAGGAUGCGAGCGUGAGCCGCAUUUAUGGGGUUGAACGGGUGCGUCGUCGGGAUGCCAAGUCAGCGGUAACAAUGUGGGGCUCCACGCCGUCGAGCCGUUGACACUGGCGUUCUUGCGUGGGCGAGACGUAUGCCGCAUGCGUGGUGUAGCUGU